UGCAGUACCAUCAGCAACAGUAUCAACUGCAGUACCACCAGCAACAAUAUCUGCAGGACCAUCAGGUAAUUUGUUUUGCAUGCUUAUGCAGUUUUAUGGGUGUUAUGUGUAUUAUGUGUAUGGGUGUUAUGUGUAUGC